UGCCGCCCUGCGUUUCUCCAACCCCCUAGGCCACCUCCUCCUUCCAGCCACCCUGCCUUCCUGGGGGACGCUCUCCAGCCGGCACCGGUCCCGCGGGGGCCUCCUCACAGCCCUCCCGCCUCAGCCCCUGGCUUCUCUGCCGCCCUCCACCCUCCCAGCCUGUGCCAGCCACACCCCAGCCUGGCACCCAGGCCGGCAAGACCCAGCCUCUGCGCCUCAGUCCAGUUUCCAGCCCACCCACUUCAACACCACGCCUCACAGACUCUUCCAGGGACAGAAGAGGGAGCUCAACAUCACCCCAUCCCAAACCAGAAAGACAGCACAAGAAAGGAAGAAGUAUGAUGAGCACCCCAUAGCACUCAAUCCUAUGAAGACCCGGGAGCCCUCCUGAGAGCCCAGUCUGCUCUUACGCCAGGCGGUCCCUGACAAGUCUGCCCCGAAGCUCACCUACCUGUGGUUUCUGCUGAUAUUGUGGAUACGUACUAACUUCCUGUGAUGAUGGUAAUCCUUAUUACUACAAACAUGUGCAAGUAAAAACAAACUUUUUAAAGUCCUUUGUGGAUAUAAACACAAACAUCCUCAAUAAAAGUCUAUACUGAAUCUAGCAACACAGAAAAGAUUCUCCAGCCGGGGAUGUAGCUCAGUGGCAGUGCGCCUAAUGCACAAGUGCAAGGUUCUGAGUUUGAGCCCUGGCACAAAAAAAGAAAGAAAGAAAAAGGAUUCUCCAUGUCCAAGUGGGAUUUAUCCCAGCAACUCAAGGUCAGUUUAAUAGUCAAAUACAAUUAACGCCACCCACCACCCCAAUAAGAUAACAAAC
rnacentral:lncRNA from 1 species